AGUUAAUUAGCUUAAAAAAGCUUAUAUUUUGAAAAUAUAAGAAAAAGGUUUAAUUCCUUUAUUAACUU
rnacentral:tRNA from 1 species